AUUGAACGCUGGCGGCAGGCCUAACACAUGCAAGUCGAACGAGUGGCGGACGGGUGAGUAAUGUCUGGGAAACUGCCCGAUGGAGGGGGAUAACUACUGGAAACGGUAGCUAAUACCGCAUACCAUCGGAUGUGCCCAGAUGGGAUUAGCUAGUAGGUGGGGUAAUGGAUCACCUAGGCGACGAUCCCUAGCUGGUCUGAUAGGAUGACCCGCCACACUGGAACUGAGACACGGGCCCGACGCCUACGGGAGGCAGCAUUGGGGAAUCUUGCGCAAUGGGCGAAAGCCUGAUGCAGCCAUGCCGCUUGUAUGAAGAAGGCCUUCGGGUUUUAAAGUACUUUCAGCGAGGAGGCGUUACUCGCAGAAGAAGCAACGGCUAACUCCGUGCCAGCAGCCGCGGUAAUAC
rnacentral:rRNA from 1 species